rnacentral:tRNA from 1 species
GAUCCCAUAGCGGAGUGGAUAUCGCGUUAGACUCCGAAUCUAAAGGUCGUGGGUUCGAUUCCCACUGGGAUCAUCC